CUCUCCGGGCUCCGCCUCCUCCGCGUCUUCGUCGCCCUGCGGCCGCUGGCGGCCCGUCGCCCUCGGACCGAUCGCUAGGCCCCCUUCCCUGGCCGGCGUGCUGCUGGGCCCCACGCGGCUCUCAGUUCGUUGGCGGCGGCAGCGGCCGCUCUGCCCGCCCCGCACCGGCUCUGCUGGUGACGCUGCAGCCGCCGGGCCCAGAGGUUCCGGACCGGCCUCAAGUCACUUCCGGGGCGGGGCGGGGCGGAGCGACGGCGUCGGGGGAGGCGGUGGUGGCGGCAGCUGGAGCCCAACGGGCUGCGCCUUCUUCGCCGUGGGCCCGGCUCGGAGCCCCCACCCCAGGCCUCACCGGCCCAGCGCGAGGCUGCCUCACCGGAAACACGAGGCCGAAUUCCAAGCUAUUGUCCUGCUUCGCCGGGGGUCGCGCACUCCAAGCGGCAGCCCACUGGAGUCCCAGUCGCCACGACAGGCGGCAGCCAGGUCGGCCUGGUCCCCCUAGCCGAGCAGCCCCGGCUUCUGGGUUAGAGGGGUUUAUGGAAAAGCCUACGUACCCACUUGCUCCUUAUAGAUUUAUUUACUCCAUCCCGCUUGUUCCUUAUAGAUUUAAUUUUUCUGUCCCCUUUAAGUCCCCAUCUUUCUGGUAUUCUGGCCGCCAUCAUUCCAAAGAAGAAAAUAGUUACUCGCUGAACAAAUGCUAUUUGAACAGCUGUUUUGUGUGUAAGGCGCUCAGUUUAGGCUAUUGAGAUAGAAAGUUUAACCUGGUUUCCGCCCUCCCAAGGACUUAGUCUAGCAGAGAUAAAGACGUGAAUUACAAGAUAAUGCUCUUAAUUGCUAGAUAAGUACAAGAAUCCUUAGGAACUCUACAAAGAAGUUGAAACUAGGGGGUUUGAGAGGGUGUCAUUUUCCUAGAAGUGAUACUUAAUUUAAGCUAUGAAGGUUGAGUGCAAAGUUGGUUAGAAAAAGGAGGGAGGAGGACACGUAUUUCAGCUGAGAGAACAGCUUUGACGCUGCAAGCAUGUAUUCUAAAAAUUCAAAGUUCAAAAUAGCGUAAGAGAGGGGACGGAGAAAUGAGACUGAGAAGGCAAUCCUAAGGAAUUCAGAGCUUUAUCCUAGAGACAAACUUCCAAAAGAUUUUAAGCAUAGCAGUGGGAUGAUAUAAUUUACAUUUUUUAAGAAUUACUCUGGCGGCCGGGCGCAGUGGCUCACGCCUGUAAUCCCAGCACUUUGGGAGGCCGAGGCGGGCGGAUCACGAGGUCAGGAGUUCGAGACCAGUCUGGCCAACAUGGUGAAACCCCGUCUCUACUAAAAAUACAAAAAAGUUAGCCGGGCGUGGUGGCGGACGCCUGUAAUCCCAGCUACUCGGGAGGCUGAGGCAGGAGAAUCGCUUGAAACCGGAAGGCGGAGGUUGCAGUGAGCCAAGAUCGCGCCAGGGCACUCCAGCCUGGGCAACAAGAGCGAAACUCCGUCUCAAAAAAUAAAAGGGCCAGGCGCGUGGUGGCUCACGCCUGUAAUCCCAGCACUUUGGGAGGCCGAGGCGGGUGGAUCACGGGGUCAGGAGAUGGAGACCAUCCUGGCUAACAUGGUGAAACCCCGUCUCUACUAAAAAUACAAAAAAAUUAGCCGGGCAUGGUGGCGGGCGCCUGUAGUCCCAGCUACUCGGGAGGCUGAGGCAGGAGAAUGGCGUGAAUCCGGGAGAUGGAGCUUGCAGUGAGCCGAGAUCGUGCCACAGCACUCCAGCCUGGGUGGCAGAGCGAGACUCCGUCUCAAAAAAAAAAAAGAGUCACUCUGGCUUCGUCUGGAAAAUGGGUUGGAACUGACAAGAUUGGGAACUGGAGGACCCUUUAAGGUGUGACAUAAUCAUGGCCUGGAUGUCAGUUGAAAUUGAGAGCUACUUCAGCAGAAUGGCUUGGGCUUAGUAGUUGACUGAAAGUGAAAAAUUAAAAAGGAAAGAGACAAGACGACGCUGGGUAGAUAGGUGAAGUCCUUCACUGAGAUAAAGAACACAGCAGAAACAGCUUGGGAGGCAGAAUGCCUAUGGGAUGGGUAUGUUGACAUAUGUAUCAGGAGGGUGAUCUAAACUGAGAUGCAGAUUAGCGUGUAGAUGGACGACAGGAGGGAAGGAAAUAUACAGUAUGAAAAAAUAGGGCCCUUCACAAAUCUCUGAGGAGCCCCACAUUUAAGGACAGACAGAGAAAAGGAAGGUAGGCCACAAAGAAUAUUCACAAAAAGCAGAGAGAGGAGGAGUUCUAGGAAACUGGGUGUCUCAUGGAGAAGCGAACAAUCCUACCUUAGGUAGCUAACAGGUCAAAUGAAGUGAAACCUGAAAGGGUUUAUUGGAUAGUUUAUUGAUAAAGCGCAUAAGAACAGUGUCGUUGGAGUGUAGAAUAGAAAUCUGAUUAUGGUGACAAAGGACAAAUGGGAAGUGAAUAAAUAGAGGCAGCAAAUAUGGACAACCUUUUAAAAAAUAAUGGGGUAGGGAGAGCCGGAAAGAGAUGAGUGUCAGGCCUCUGAGCCCAAGCUAAGCCAUCAUAUCCCCAGUGACCUGCAUGUAUACAUCCAGAUGGCCUGAAGCAACUGAAGAUCCACAAAAAAAGUGAAAAUAGCCUUAACUGAUAACAUUUCACCAUUGUGAUUUGUUUCUGCCCCACCCUAACAGAUGAAUGUACUUUGUAAUCUCCCCCACCCUUAGGAAGUUUCUUUAUAAUCUCCCCAACCCUUAAGAAGGUUCUUUGUAUUUCUCCCCACCCUUGAGAAUGUACUUUGUGAGAUCCACCCCCUGCCCCCAAAACAUUGCACUUAACUCCACCACCUAUUCCAAAACCUAUAAGAACUAAUGGUAAUCCCAACACCCUUUGCUGACUCCUUUUUCAGACUCAGCCUGCCUGCACCCAGGUGAAAUAAACAGCCAUGUUGCUCACACAAAGCCUGUUUGGUGGUCUCUUCCCACGGACGCGCGAGACAAUGAGGAGGUACUUGGAAUAAAAGGAGGGAUUUUUGAAUGUGGGAUAUAUAUAUGUGUGUGUGUGUGUGUGUGUGUGUGUGUGUGUGUGUGUGUGUGUGUAUAUAUUUUUUUUUUUUUUUUUUUUUUUGAGUCUCACUCUGUAGCCCAGUCUGGAGUGCAAUGGAUCCAUCUCGGCUCACUGCAAUCUCCGCCUCCGGGGUUCAAGUGAUUCUUCUGCCUCAGCGCCUCGAGUAGCUGGGACCACAGGUGCGCACCACCACAUCCAGAUAAUUUUUUUUUUUUCGGUAUUUUUAGUAGAGACAGGCUUUCACCAUAUUGGCCAGGCUGGUCUCGAACUCCUGACCUCGUGAUCCGCCCGCCUUGGACUCCCAAAGUGUUGGGAUUACAGGCUUGAGCCACUGAGCCCGGCCAUAUUUAGAUAUAUUUAAAUAUGGAUGAAAAGGAGCCAGUGGAGAGAGAAGUUAAAGAUAUUGGGUGAGGACGACAAAGAGCGGAAGAGAAUGUGGAGUCAUUGACCUUUAGAAGCAAAUCAAACUGUGCUUCCAUUGUCAGAGGAGGAAAGCAGGGAAGGAAGCAUAGGUGCAGAUGCUGGAAUGUUUGGUACUGGAAGUUGGAGAAGUUCUUUCUAUAGUUUCUAUUUUUUCCUAUGAAACAAGACAAUGAGAAUUAUAGGGAAGUGGUAGGUAGAUUUGAGGAAAUUGAAGAAGCCUUAGAGUAGUCUCAGAAUUCAGAAAAUUGAUUUAAAAAGUUAGAAUUGUUUGGCAGGUAAGGCUGGAAGCUUGAAUUUACUAUUAUCUAUCUGCACAAUUUAAUGAUUUUUUCCCUAAUACUGUUUAGUGGCCCAGGAUUGUGUGACAUACAGUAUAUACUAGUGACAUACUAGUAUAAUAGAAUGACAAAAGAUCAAGAUAAUGUUUUUUAUGUUGCCAGUAGUGAUGGUAGUGUUAGCUAUCAUUCAUUGAGCAUUUCUGUCUGCCAGUGCUUUACCUACAUUAUCUCACUGAAUUCUCUAGAGAUAAUUGAGUUGAGAAUAUUUGAAAGAGAGUGGUUAAAGUCUAAGUUUGGUUGACGUGUAAGUGAAGAGAGUAGAGAGCUAAUAGGGAAGGAGAAGAGAGAUGUCAAGACACUUACAUGCUGAUGAGCUAUAAGGGAAAGAUGAAAGGAUUCGCCUGAGCAAGGGAUCUAGAAGAAUAGAAAUGUUUGGAUUUAAGAUUUCGAAGAGACCAGCC
rnacentral:lncRNA from 1 species